rnacentral:RNase_P_RNA from 1 species
GGCCAAACGCGCUAAGGCGUCAGCUAUGCGCUAGUAGGUCUGAAAAGUGCCACAGUGACGAAACGAUCAGGGAAACCUGAGCGGUGGAACGGGUAAACCCCGCGAGCGAGUAACCCAAACUUUUGGUAGGGGCGUUUUGCCAAGCAAAUUGAAGCGACGGCAAUACAGCGGUAACGCUGAGAUAGAUGAUGACUGAAGGAGCUUGUGCCUGAACAAGUUCUGGAACAAAACAUGGCUUAUAGGG